UGGUUCUGGGUACCAAGAACACAACAGUGAAUCAAACCAAAAGUCUCUGUCCUCAUAGAGCUUAUAUCCUAGUGAGAAGAAAUACUGUUAUGUUUGAAGGUAAUAAGUGUAACAGGAAAUAAAAUACGUAGGGCCAGAUGGACUCUUUACUACUGAGCCACCAGGGAAGCCCUGUCACACAGAUAUCUGCAACUAAAGGAUAUCAAGCAGAGGGAACAGCCCAUGCAAAGAAGUUUUGCAAAGGAGACGAGAACCUUGAAGAUAAGGAGCACAGUGGCCAGCCAUCGGAAGUUGACAACAUCAAUCGAGAGGAUCCAUCGAAACUUAUCCUCUUAAAUCUAACUACAUGAGAAAUUGGUGAAAAACUCAAUGUUGACCAUUUUAUGGUUAUUUGGCAUUUGAAGCAAAUUGGAAAGGUGAAAAAACACAAUAGG